UACGUAGGGUGCGAGCGUUAUCCGGAAUUAUUGGGCGUAAAGAGCUCGUAGGCGGUUCGUCACGUCGGCUGUGAAAUCCCGAGGCUCAACCUCGGGUCUGCAGUCGAUACGGGCGGACUGGAGUACUGCAGGGGAGACUGGAAUUCCUGGUGUAGCGGUGAAAUGCGCAGAUAUCAGGAGGAACACCGGUGGCGAAGGCGGGUCUCUGGGCAGUAACUGACGCUGGAGGAGCGAAAGCGUGGGGAGCGAACAGG
rnacentral:rRNA from 1 species